UAGGGAAUCUUCGGCAAUGGGGGGAACCCUGACCGAGCAACGCCGCGUGAGUGAUGAAGGUCUUCGGAUCGUAAAACUCUGUUAUUAGGGAAGAACAAAUGUGUAAGUAACUAUGCACGUCUUGACGGUACCUAAUCAGAAAGCCACGGCUAACUACGUGCCAGCAGCCGCGGUAAUACGUAGGUGGCAAGCGUUAUCCGGAAUUAUUGGGCGUAAAGCGCGCGUAGGCGGUUUUUUAAGUCUGAUGUGAAAGCCCACGGCUCAACCGUGGAGGGUCAUUGGAAACUGGAAAACUUGAGUGCAGAAGAGGAAAGUGGAAUUCCAUGUGUAGCGGUGAAAUGCGCAGAGAUAUGGAGGAACACCGGUGGCGAAAGCGGCUCUCUGGUCUGUAACUGACGCUGAGGCUCGAAAGCGUGGGGAGCGAACAGG
rnacentral:rRNA from 1 species